rnacentral:rRNA from 1 species
UGGGGAAUAUUGCACAAUGGGCGCAACCCUGAUGCAGCCAUGCCGCGUGUAUGAAGAAGGCCUUCGGGUUGUAAAGUACUUUCAGUCGGGAGGAAGGUGUCAAGGUUAAUAACCUUGGCAAUUGACGUUACCGACAGAAGAAGCACCGGCUAACUCCGUGCCAGCAGCCGCGGUAAUACGGAGGGUGCAAGCGUUAAUCGGAAUUACUGGGCGUAAAGCGCACGCAGGCGGUUGAUUGAGUCAGAUGUGAAAUCCCCGGGCUUAACCCGGGAAUUGCAUCUGAUACUGGUCAGCUAGAGUCUUGUAGAGGGGGGUAGAAUUCCAUGUGUAGCGGUGAAAUGCGUAGAGAUGUGGAGGAAUACCGGUGGCGAAGGCGGCCCCCUGGACAAAGACUGACGCUCAGGUGCGAAAGCGUGGGGAGCAAACAGG